UUUUUUUUCCUUCAGAGUUGCUGACAGUGAAAUCAAGAUAAAUAAGGUAUCUGAAACUCACCAGUAGGGGAGCAAACAUGGAAGGAUACAGAAGCUCUCAGAUGGGUGUACUGCACACACAUAAGAUGGUGGAUUAGCAGAUUAGUCACUGUUUUCCUGAAGAUAACAGAAGACUGGAAACUGCCUACCAUUCACCAACUGGGCACGAUGAAGCUGUUACCAUGGUGAUAGGGUCCCGGAUGGGUGUCCAGGUUCUUGUGUGUAGGAAUAAAGAAUUGGACAUGGCAUGUGAAGGUAAGGAGAAGCAGAAUGGGGGGGUGGUAAAGAAAUAGAAGAGGAAGAGAUUAGAAGCGAGGCUGGAGGACAAAGGAAGAGCAUGCAAACGUUGGGGAACUGGUGAAGGAGAAAGGGAAAGAGAGAAGGAAGAGACGCAAACAAGAACAGGAAGGAGCAACAACAAAACUAGAACCCGUGUCCACACUCAUAUAAAAAUAAGAAAAAACAAAACAAAAACAAGAAAGAGAAAUUUUUUUAAAAAGGAAAAGAAAAAAAGAAAAAAAAGUCACUUCAAGGCCUGUCUCUGCUGUCACAGGUGGACAACUUGGGCAGUGUUCAGAUGGGAGUUGAUUCACUCCAGCAAGCCAGCAUGGUUUUACAGCAGGAGAGUGGAUCAUCCCAGCAGGCCUGCGCCUUUACUUCUACUCAAGUUCAGGCUGGCUUCUGGCCGUGAGGAUGGAGCUGGACCUGUGGAGCCUGCAACAGUCCGCGCACCCCACACUGGCUCAACCCGGGCUCCCUGAGCUCCUGACACUGGAGCCCUUGGGGCCCUCUGCAGAGGCUUCCAGCCAAUCGCCCUGUCCUGGAGGGGUCCGAACCCCAACAACUCAUCACCUGCAUCCGCUGCUGCCCUCCCCUGUUCUUCUCCAUGGAGGACCCCACUUGCCAGUGGUCUGCAGGUUCAAGCCCCCUUCCCACGUGCGAGUCUGGGCUCGGGAGAAGGCGCUGUCCCCUACAGCCUCCUCCUUUGUUGGACACGCUGUCAUGCUCUUCCUGAGGGCUGGGCUGUCAGAGGACUGGUGGGGCAUUGGGUCACAUCACUGUCCUCUGCUCAUGUCCUGUCGCACAGUUCACUCUGUUAUUACUGGAUGGAUGAGGCGAGGCCCUGUGCACCAGCCUUUAGUGGGCUCCAGGUGAGAAAGGGUCCUGCCGGUCAGGAUGAGGCUCUGGCACACGGUCAUCUUGCUUUGGGACUCUGGAACUUUCCAAGGUGAGCCUAGGUGUCUUUGUUUUUCUUAUCUCUGUCUCUGGGUAAUGAACCUUAGGACAAAAAGGAUGGGGUCAGCCCUGGGGCUUUCCCCAGGUGCAGGUGAGUGGCCCUGUAGCCCCAAUGUGCUGUCUGUAUUAAAAUUAUGAUACAGCUGUAGAAGGAAACAUAGGAGGAGGUUUGUGGUUAUUUGUUUGUUCUUUUUGAUAUGGGAGGUCUUACUAUGUUGCCCAGGCUGGUCUUGAACCUUGUGGGCUCAAGCAAUCCUCCUGACUCAGCCUCUCAAGUAGCUGGAAUUACAAGGAAGAAGCACUGCAGCUGGAGAACGUUUCUGUUUCCUAAAUUGAGUAAUGGUUUUCAAAACAUGUUUUUGUCUUAAAGUUAUAAAUAUUCUUUUGCAUGUAGUAAAUAUUUAAUAAGAUUAAGUUUAAAAAACCAAGUGAAACAUAGGUAUGAAAAGAGAAAAAUACAAGUCUGUACUGAAUGCCUAAAAGAAUAGUCUGGGCAUGGUGGUGCACAUGGGUGGUGCUGAGUGUAAUCUCAGCACUCGGGAGGCUGAGGCAGGAUCACCUCGAGUGUGACCAGCUCUAUCCGGGACCCACCAAGAAUCACCCCAUUAGAACAAGAGAUGCUCCUACAGCUUAGGAAAUUCCCAGGGGCUCAGGAGCUCGGUGUUGGACGCUCCUGCCACUAGGAAAAUCACGAAGGUCUCAGGCGCCCUGUGUCAGGAGCCAGGGUCAAGGACCAAAGGUGAGGACCAGAUUCUCCCAGCGCCCUACCUAUGAGGGGCUGUUUCAGGAAACUGGAGCAUAGACCAAAGAUUAGAACAAGUUUUUCCUAGCAAUCCUAUUGCUUAGGAAGUUACAAGGUUUUGGAAGCUUUGUGGUAGGAACUGAGGACGAUAUUUAUGGUUCUUGCCUGGGGAUUUAGCUCAGUGGUUCCGCCGCCUGCCCCUCAAGCUCAAGGUCCCGAGUUUGAUCCCCAGUACUAAAAACAAAUUUAUGUUUAUUUCAUAAUCAAUGUCUUUUACAAAGUCUUAAAAUAGCACCUUGAUGGUCUCUGCAAUGAUAGCUAACAUUCACUGGCUACUGAGUUUGCGUGAGGCAUUGCUCAAAGCUUGUAUAUAAAUUACUCUUUCCCCAGGGAAGGCAGAAGGAGUAAAAAUGACCAAGAUGGGAUGAAUGUAUGUACCAUUUCCUGGGGAUGAAUGUAAUUAUUAUGUAUGGCAAACAUACACAUAAAAAAGAAAUGUACUCAUGGGGGGGUCAAUAAAAGAAGGAGAAGUAAAAAAUGAUUAACCCUUACAAUAACCUUAUGAAGUAGGAGUUAUUGUUAUUAUCCCCAUUUUUCAGAUGGGGCAGUAGGCACGGGGUAAAUUGCUGCAAAGCAGCACAGGUAGUAGAGGGGCAUGAUUUGGACCCAUCUCUGACCCAAGUUACUGCAUGCUGAGAGGAAGAUACAGUCACAGUGGAGCGAAUCUGGGGCAAGAUGAAGACCUUGUUUCUCUGCUGACCAUAGGUCUGCAGAGUGAGAGGCCUGGAGAAGUGAGAACCUUUGGCGUGCAGAUGUCUUUACUACUGGAGGACCUCGAACCAUAAAUGAGAUUUAAGGCAGGAUCUUAUAGGAGCAAAAGGGGCCCACUGGAAGCUCUUACCCGUGGGUUGGGAGAAAAAUAGCAUUUUCCAGAGUGUCCUUUGUGGUCCACAGGUUGGGCUGGUGGGGUGGGGGGAGCCCCUGUGCACACACAUUCGGGGGCCAGGAGUAGAUGUCAAAGGGCAGGUAGAUCUAGGAGGUUUUGUGUUGAGGAUUUGGUAGGGUUGGAAUCAGCUCAUGGUCACAAAGGAAGCAAAGAACAGUACACUGUGCAUCAGAAGGGCAGGCCACCCUCUGUUCAGGGACUUUAGUGCUGUGAGGUGCUCUGCUCAUUCAGAGUUUCUGUCAUUUGUGCCCUGAUCCAGCUCUUCCAGGUGGUGUGGCAGAAGGUGUCACUCCCUUCUUUCCUCUUCCUUACCUGGUGAAGCACCUGAGACUCAGAGGGGCUUUCCUGGGACCAACACUCUUGUCCCUGGCCUGUGUAGGAUGGAAGUGUAGAGGAGUUAAUAUACCCUGGGGCAGCCUUCUGCUGCUGAGGGGAGGGAGCUGCUGGAUGAAUGCUUCCGCUUCCUUGUUCUACAGAGGGUAAAACUCAGAGCUGUUCCAUCUCCUAGUGUGCCCUUGUUCGUGGAUACCCAACUGCCCACCAUGCCAUGCCCAUUGGUCACCUACUUAGUAACCUGGCUUUCUUAUGCUCCUGACUCUCUGCUUGUGCUCCCCAGGAUUGCCUCUCCAAUAAACUAUUUGUAUCAAG